UACGGGGGGGGGCAAGCGUUGUUCGGAAUUACUGGGCGUAAAGGGUUCGUAGGUGGCUUGCUAAGUCAGACGUGAAAUCCCUCAGCUUAACUGGGGAACUGCGUCUGAUACUGGCGAGCUUGAGUGCAGGAGAGGAACGCGGAAUUCCAGGUGUAGCGGUGAAAUGCGUAGAUAUCCGGAGGAACACCGAUGGCGAAGGCAGGUCUCUGGGCAUUAACUGACGCUGAGGAGCGAAAGCAUGGGGAGCGAACAGG
rnacentral:rRNA from 1 species